rnacentral:pre_miRNA from 1 species
AGUGGGAUAACUGGGUCAAAUGGUGAUUCCAGUCCAAAUUUUCUGAGAAAUCUCCAUACUGCUUUUCAGAGUGGUUGCACCAAUUUGUAGUCCCUCCAUCAAU